GGAUGAGGAGCUUGCUCCUUUGACGUUAGCGGCGGACGGGUGAGUAACACGUGGAUAACCUACCUAUAAGACUGGGAUAACUUCGGGAAACCGGAGCUAAUACCGGAUAAGAUUUUGAACCGCAUGGUUCAAUAGUGAAAGACGGCCUUGCUGUCACUUAUAGAUGGAUCCGCGCCGUAUUAGCUAGUUGGUAAGGUAACGGCUUACCAAGGCAACGAUACGUAGCCGACCUGAGAGGGUGAUCGGCCACACUGGAACUGAGACACGGUCCAGACUCCUACGGGAGGCAGCAGUAGGGAAUCUUCCGCAAUGGGCGAAAGCCUGACGGAGCAACGCCGCGUGAGUGAUGAAGGUCUUCGGAUCGUAAAACUCUGUUAUCAGGGAAGAACAAACGUGUAAGUAACUGUGCACGUCUUGACGGUACCUGAUCAGAAAGCCACGGCUAACUACGUGCCAGCAGCCGCGGUAAUACGUAGGUGGCAAGCGUUAUCCGGAAUUAUUGGGGCGUAAAGCGCGCGUAGGCGGUUUUUUAAGUCUGAUGUGAAAGCCCACGGCUCAACCGUGGGAGGGUCAUUGGAAACUGGAAAACUUGAGUGCAGAAGAGGAAAGUGGAAUUCCAUGUGUAGCGGUGAAAAUGGCGCAGAGAUAUGGGAGGAACACCAGUGGGCGAAGGCGACUUUCUGGUCUGUAACUGACNGCUGAUGUGCGAAAGCGUGGGGGAUCAAACANGAUUAGAUACCCCUGGUAGUCCACGCCGUAAACGAUGAGUGCUAAGUGUUAGGGGGGUUUCCCGCCCCUUUAGUGCUGCAGCUUAACGCAUUAAGCACUCCGGCCUGGGGAGUACGACCCGC
rnacentral:rRNA from 1 species